UGGGGCUUUUGGGGCUGAGAAUCUGACGAUUACGAUGGGAAAACGCUCCGUUUCGUCGGUGGACGGGGCUAGAGGGAGCUUGGCGGAGAGGACAUUUCUCAGGAUUUGUACCUGGGAGUCUGUCUGAUGGGGAAUCUGGGGAUAUUACUUGUGAUAUUAUCGAUAAUGUGGAGGCUUCGAUGUUCUACAGAAACGGCACAGGUUUCGAUCGAGAUGGGUUUGAUGCUCAAUCUUCAACUGGGUAUUAGAUACUCUAUCUAUUGGGAAGCAUGCUUCGAUAGUGAGGGAAAUUAAGCCCAGUGAUUUCGAUCCCAAAGAGAAGUUCUGGGCCAGGUUUUCACCGGAAGGAUCGAACAAAACGCCGCCCCAUCAGUCGUUUGAGUUUCUCGGAAUGAAAAUUCUCUUGUGACAAAAUUCUAUGGUGUGCAUUGUGUCAAACCUGUCGGCGGCCAGAAGACGAGGUUUAUCGUGAUGGGCAAUUUGUUCUUCUCGGAUUACAGAAUACAUAGACGAUUUGACCUAAAAGGAUCAUCCCAUGGUCGAACAACUGAUAAGCCUGAGGGGGAAAUCGAUGAAAUCACAACUCUCAAGGACUUGGAUCUUAAUUUUGUGUUUCGCCUCCAAGGAAAAUGGUUCCAAGACCUUAUGAAGCAAAUUGAUCUAGAUUGUCAAUAUCUGGAAGCAGAGAGAAUCAUGGAUUAUAGUCUUUUGGUUGGUGUUCAUUUUUAUGAUGGCAGCAAUACAUAUGACAAAAUGGGGCUGUCACCAUUUAUUGUGCGAUCUGGCCAAAAGGAUUCAUAUCAGAAUGAAAAGUUUAUGCGUA